CCUACGGGAGGCAGCAGUGGGGAAUUUUGGACAAUGGGCGAAAGCCUGAUCCAGCAAUGCCGCGUGAGUGAAGAAGGCCUUCGGGUUGUAAAGCUCUUUUGUCAGGGAAGAAACGGUGAGGGCUAAUAUCCCUUGCUAAUGACGGUACCUGAAGAAUAAGCACCGGCUAACUACGUGCCAGCAGCCGCGGUAAUACGUAGGGUGCAAGCGUUAAUCGGAAUUACUGGGCGUAAAGCGUGCGCAGGCGGUUUUGUAAGUCUGUCGUGAAAUCCCCGGGCUCAACCUGGGAAUUGCGAUGGAGACUGCAAGGCUAGAAUCUGGCAGAGGGGGGUAGAAUUCCACGUGUAGCAGUGAAAUGCGUAGAGAUGUGGAGGAACACCGAUGGCGAAGGCAGCCCCCUGGGUCAAGAUUGGCGCUCAUGCACGAAAGCGUGGGGAGCAAACAGGAUUAGAUACCCUGGUAGUCCACGCCCUAAACGAUGUCUACUAGUUGUCGGGUUUUAAUUAACUUGGUAACGCAGCUAACGCGUGAAGUAGACCGCCUGGGGAGUACGGUCGCAAGAUUAAAACUCAAAAGUAGUAGUACGGCGUGNGAGAGCGACGACGACGACGACGGAGGAGGAGG
rnacentral:rRNA from 1 species